rnacentral:tRNA from 1 species
AAAGAUGAGAGAGUUUUCGCUUACAAUGAAGAUCACCUUUUAAGGCAUUUUUAU